UCAUGUGCUGAUGUGUCAAA
rnacentral:snRNA from 1 species